AGAGAGGUUAAAUACUCCCCAGAGACAGGUAGUAACCAAAGCCCCUCAGCACAAACACGCAUGGUAGUAAAUCACAAAGAUGGCAGUUGUCACUGGCAGGGAGGUCAAAAGAAUGACGUGUUUCUUCCAGCUGUCACAGGAGGCACAGAUAUAUA